GGAGAGCCUAUUCCUUGAGGUCAUACAAUAAUGAUAUUCAGGAAUUCGUAAUAUAGUUAAUUCAAAUAAUAACUGUUCUAGAAACUUACAGGGUUUAAAUGUGGCUUAAAACAGGAGAAAAGAGGUUAAAUUUUCAAAUAAAAGGAAAAGAUGAAUAUGAACUGUUAAAGGCUGCAAUUUUGCAUACUGAUGGACAGGCAGAAAAUGGUGAAUAAGUUAAAGAGAUGGAAGAACCCCUGAGCAUUGUGGUAGGAUCACUAGGCAUUAUAUCUAUGACCCUGUCAGCAUAUACAUAAAUGAGAAUGCAUUGAGAUCCAAGCCACAUCCUCAUUAGAAGCUAAAAUUACAGCUUCAUUUUGUCCAUUUUAGAAUAUAUAGUCAUGCAUAUAGACCAUCCUUGAUUAUACAAGAGACAGACUAGCAGAUCUAGGAAAUUUGGUGGACAAGCGAA
rnacentral:misc_RNA from 1 species